ACAAUGAUUCGCUUGUUAAUAUUAUAUGUAACAUUACCGGUAGCGCUUGGGAAAACUGAUACGAGACCCAUAGUCUACUUACCAAAAGACCUUAGUGAUUACAUGGCGAAAACGGCUUUUCAAUGUAUGAUAAAGUUGCAAACCAAAAGUAGCAUGGUUAAACGCUUCUUCGAACUCGAAUUCCAAGAUGACGAAUUGAGUAGACAGUUUCUGUUCUGCGUUUGUUACACCACGUAUCUAGCAGAUGAGGAUGGCCACUUGUCCGAAGCAAUGCUGAGACUUUUUGACGACAACGAACAUGCUGAGGAAGUUCAAAAGGUGUUCGAAUCUUGUAACAAAAUAAAAACGAACACACCAGUUCGGACACUAAGCGAAGUAGCCAAAUGUUUUUAUAAUAAUACCCCCGUCAUUUUAGGGCCAGAGUUAGUACGAUAUUGAAAUAAGGAGUUACUAUUAAUCAUGUUAAAAUAUUUCUUCCAAAAAUACAAACACAUUUAUUCCAACGGUUUAUACGCAAUUUUUAAAUAUUAAAGUCAACCAUUCAAUCUAUUUUUAGCCGUAUAUAAGUUAAUGAUAAUGUAAAAGGAUAAAGAAAUGGAGUGAAAGGAUGUGGUAUUGGAUCUCUGGGUAAUGAGACGAAUUUGUACUCAUACGUGCUUGUUUUUGAUGAUCAAAUCCAAUAUAAUCAAUUAACACUUAGUAUGCCGUAACACUAGGUGUCUGCCAGUAGAUUGGCCCCACAGGCCGUAGAAAAAAAAUGCAGAAAAAUCUGCAAUUUUCUGCUUAAUGUACAAAAUCGAUUUUACGAUCUACCCUAGAUAAUUUUUUUGCUUACCAAUCAUGUACUAAUAUUAUAAAUGCGAAAGUUUUUAUGAAUGGAUGUCUACAUAUCUCUAAAUCAGCUUACUGUAUCUCGAUGAAAUUUGGCAUUGAUAUAUAAAAUAGUCUAGAAGAACACAUAGGCUACCUACUUAGUUUUCUUAGUUGUUUUUAUAAUUAUACCGUAAUAGUUGGAUAUAGCCUAGUUACCCGUAACUUUGAGUAGGCUCCGAGCCCCUAAUUGCGGACUAUAGUGAGCUGAUGAUGAUACCCUGUUGGUGUUUUUGAAAUUAACAGGUUCGUAGGAGUUUAGAUUUUGCAACGAAGAAUGUGGUUUAAACUAAAUUAUAUUCGAACUAUUAGAACACCAGCAGUGUUAGUGUUAAAACCUUGUUCUGAUUCAGUUUCAUAACAUUCAGUCGACGAAGGUCACCGAAACAAACGAACUGUAUUGAAUCUCAUGCCGUUUAUUGAAUAACCAUCAGCAGUAUUAAUGCAGAGAAAGUAGUUACCACAUGUUUCGCGAUAAAAUUCAUCACAAUGAUUCGCUUUUUAAUUUUGCAUGUAAUUUUACCCGCAACGCUUGCACAAAUUGAUAAGAGACCUGUAGUAAACUUACCAAAAGAUCUUGCUGAUCACAUGGCUAAAAUAACAUACAAUUGUAUGUUAAUAUUCCAAACAAGAAGCACCGCG